GAAUAUUGGUCAAUGGGCGCAAGCCUGAACCAGCCAUGCCGCGUGCAGGAUUAAGGCCCUAUGGGUUGUAAACUGCUUUUAUACGGGAAGAAACACCGAUUCGUGAAUCGGCUUGACGGUACCGUAAGAAUAAGGAUCGGCUAACUCCGUGCCAGCAGCCGCGGUAAUACGGAGGAUCCAAGCGUUAUCCGGAAUCAUUGGGUUUAAAGGGUCCGUAGGCGGGCCUGUAAGUCAGUGGUGAAAUCUCCCCGCUCAACGGGGAAACUGCCAUUGAUACUGCAGGUCUUGAAUUAUUGGGAAGUAACUAGAAUAUGUAGUGUAGCGGUGAAAUGCUUAGAUAUUACAUGGAAUACCGAUUGCGAAGGCAGGUUACUAUCAAUACAUUGACGCUGAUGGACGAAAGCGUGGGGAGCGAACAG
rnacentral:rRNA from 1 species